UACGUAGGGGGCGAGCGUUGUCCGGAUUUACUGGGCGUAAAGCGCGUGUAGGCGGGAGAUUAAGUUGGGUGUGAAAGCCCGGGGCUCAACCCCGGGAUGCCGCCCAAGACUGGUCUCCUUGAGGACGGAAGAGGGGAGUGGAAUUCCUGGUGUGGCGGUGAAAUGCGUAGAGAUCAGGAGGAACACCCGUGGCGAAGGCGGCUCCCUGGUCCGUUUCUGACGCUGAGACGCGAAAGCGCGGGGAGCGAACGGG
rnacentral:rRNA from 1 species